CAAAAAUAUACUAUAAAACUACAGGCCCAUCUCUCUAACAUGCGGGGGUGCUGCAAAAUAAUUGAACACAUAAUCUACAGUGCUGUUAUGAAACACCUUCAAAUGAAUAGUUUCUUUUCAAAUACCCAACAUGGAUUCAGACCAGGCUUGUUAUGCAUGACUCAAAUGG
rnacentral:lncRNA from 1 species